UACGUAGGCAGCGAGCGUUGUUCGGAGUUACUGGGCGUAAAGAGUGCGUAGGCGGUUUUCUAAGUUUGGUGUGAAAUCUCCCGGCUUAACUGGGAGGGUGCGCCGAAGACUGGAAGGCUUGAGUAUGGGAGAGGUAAGCGGAAUUCCUGGUGUAGCGGUGAAAUGCGUAGAUAUCAGGAGGAACACCUGCGGUGUAGACGGCUUACUGGACCAUCACUGACGCUGAGGCACGAAGCGUGGGGAUCAAACAGG
rnacentral:rRNA from 1 species